rnacentral:rRNA from 1 species
AUAGAACGCUAGCGGCAGGCCUAAAACAUGCAAGUCGAACGAGUGGCGGACGGGUGCGGAAUGUCUGGGAAACUGCCUGAUGUAGGGGGAUACCUACUGGAAACGGUAGCUAAUUCCGCAUACCACAAGUUGUGCCCCGAUGGGAUUAGCUUGUUGGUGGGGUAACGGCUAACAAAGGCGACGAUCCAUAGCUGGUCUGAGCGGCUGACCAGCGUCACGGGAACUGAGACAGGGGCCAGACUCCUGCGGGAGGCAGCAGUGGGGAAUAUUGCACAAGGGGCGCAAGUCUGACGAAGCAAGGCCGCGUGUAUGAAGAAGGCCUUCGGGUUGUAAAGUACUGUCAGCGGUGAGGCGUUAACCGCCGAAGAAGCACCGGCUAACUCCGUGCCAGCCGCCGCGGUAAUAC